rnacentral:rRNA from 1 species
UACGGAGGGUGCAAGCGUUAUCCGGAUUCACUGGGUUUAAAGGGUGCGUAGGUGGGUUGGUAAGUCAGUGGUGAAAUCUCCGUGCUUAACAUGGAAACUGCCAUUGAUACUACUGAUCUUGAAUUUUCUGGAGGUAAGCGGAGUAUGUCAUGUAGCGGUGAAAUGCUUAGAUAUGACAUAGAACACCAAUUGCGAAGGCAGCUUGCUACAGGGAUAUUGACACUGAGGCACGAAAGCGUGGGGAUCAAACAGG